GCUUUUGAAGCUCAAAGGAGGGCACCAAUAACAACAUUUGGAAGUAGUAGGUUCAACUCCUGCCAAAAGCG
rnacentral:tRNA from 2 species